rfam:Anopheles stephensi strain SDA-500 unplaced genomic scaffold supercont1.46, whole genome shotgun sequence.
GUACAUAUCGUACAAGUUGUCUUGGAACGAUACAGAGAAGAUUAGCAUUGACCCUGCACAUAUCGUACAGUGAAAUAAGACUGUUACUU